AACUUUUCCCCACCACGCAAUUAUGCAACUAAAUCAAGCUAAUUCAAUAACUCUCCCACUUAGCUCACAUCUCCCUCUAUUUGCACAACUCCAGCCAAGAAACAAAACAUUUCCUAUCAUUUUCACCGUGAGUCCUCUUCAAAGAGCAGGAAGUCUCCAUUUCGUCCAGCCAAAUUCUUAAGGUAAGCUUUGCUAUAAUCUUCCAUUUUCUUCCAUUAUCCGCCUGUAAUCAGCCCGCAAUCACUGAGACAACAACACAAAUUUAUUUCAGUUCCAGUUCAUUCACCACACCACAACCGAAAAGUGAGAGAAAUCACUCAUUCACUCCCUGCCAGAAUCAAUAAGUUCAGUCAUUCCAAUUCAUUCAACUCCAACAGCCAUCAAUCAGUUCGAUCAUAUUCAAGGUAUUAUACUAUCUCGAAUUUCAAUCCAAUCAAGCAUUCAUGUCAACAUGUUCAAGCUAUGGCAUUACAACUAUGUCGAUUCAUUCACUGUUAUUUUACGCUUUAGAACGACAAACCAUGAGUAUUCUGCCCUUAACAACUAGUUAUUGAAGUAGAAGAAGAAUGAAAAUAGAGAACUUAGCUUUAGAUUGAGUGGUAGUGGACUGUCGAAGCGGCGACGUUCGGCGAUAGAACUCCAGGCCGCGACUCGGCAAAAAAAAACAGCAGCUGUAGUUGGUGGCGUGGCUCGAACCUUCGACUCCGGAGAUAGCAGCAACGGCGGACUCUCCCCUGCUCGCCGGAAAUCGCAUCGCAGCAGCGGCGGUGCUCACCGAUUCUGGAGUGCAGUGACACGGCGAAGCCGAAGAUUCCAGUGGUAGCAGCGGCGUCGGGGCUCGGAGAAUCGACGGAGACAACAGACUUUCGACGGUGAAGUCCGAGAACGGCAACAGCAGCAGGCGGCUUAGCUGCUGCCCGUCGAUCCAGAGAGAGAAAAGGGGGCUGGACAGCGGCUGGAUGCGAAACUGGUCGACGGAGGGAGAGAUGACGGGCCAAUCAGCUACUGCUCGGCCACGACCAAAGAAGAUUCGAGGGAGCAAAGUGAGAGGCGGAUCUGGUGUUGAGCAGAGGUAGAGAAGCGGCGGCUAUUUUUGAGUUGCUGUCGCCGGAAACGGCGGAGAGGGGAGAGCAGUGAGUGACGACAACUUAUCGCCACUGCUCGCUCCGGCGAGCUCCGACGGCGGUGACUGAGAGAGAGAGAGAUGAACGGAUCUUGAGAAGAAAAAGAAAGAGAUUGAGUUGAAGGAGAGGGCGACUCGACAAUGAUGUCGCCGGAUUGCGGAGCGGCAGCGGCUGACGCAUCGGAUGAAAGAAUCGAGAGAGAGAGAGCUCGAUUGAAUUCAGCGAGAGAGAAGAAGAAGGGGAUGAGCUUCCAGAGAGAGAGAAAGGCGUGAAUUGUGAAGUAUAAGAGAGAGAGCCGAUUUAUUUUAGGAAUGGGCUUUUCAAUUUGUUUGGGCUUCUAUUUAAUUUAAUUGGGACCGAAAAUUUGGGCCUUUAUUUUCUUUUCUUUGGGCUGCUGUAUCAUUUCAGUUGGGCCUUAUUUAUUUUAAUUCUAAAUUGGGCUUUAAUUUAAUUCAUUGGGCUUUUGUUAUAUUAUCUUCGUUGGGCCUCGUUUGAUUUAAUUGAGCCCAGCUAAUCAAAUUAUUUAUUUAUUUGGUCAAGAUUUAUUUAAUUACUUGAGCCGAUGAGUUAUUUCAAUUGGGCCUCUCAUGUUAAUUAUUCAAGCCCACUUCUACUUAAUUAAUUAUUAGGCUGUCUUAUGUUGAGCCUUUUAAUUAUUUAAUCUUAUAACAUUAUUUGUUUCUAUUUUUUUUAAGUCCGAUUAAUUAUGAGGUUAUAAAGUGAAUAAGUUGAAGUAUUUAUUUAUUUUCUAAUGACUACGAGGAAUGGGGUUUAUUUGAUUGGCGGAUUAGAACACCCUAAGAGAACGGAUUAAUUUUUAUUAAUUAUCCGGCUUCAUGAGACGAGACUUAGCUUUUGUUUAAAUCCAAUAGCCUGGAUUAACAAUAGAAAUUCCCUAAUUAUUAUUUCAGAAUAAUAAUUCAUGCAUAAGGAUCAUGCAUAGUUAAAUACACAUACUCAUUUGUAGGAUUUUUAUUCGAGCAAAUAUCUUAUAUAUGUACAUAUAUUCUCGUAAUAAAGGUCAAGGGCGAGAUUGACAAUCUGUUGAGGAGCUUUUGUAUCACAGAAAAUCACUAUCAGGU
rnacentral:lncRNA from 1 species